UACGUAGGGCGCAAGCGUUGUCCGGAAUUAUUGGGCGUAAAGAGCUCGUAGGCGGCCUGUUGCGUCCGCUGUGAAAUCCCGGGGCUCAACCCCGGGCCUGCAGUGGAUACGGGCUGGCUAGAGGCAGGCAGGGGAGAACGGAAUUCCUGGUGUAGCGGUGAAAUGCGCAGAUAUCAGGAGGAACCCCGGUGGCGAAGGCGGAUCUCUGGGCCAUUACUGACGCUGAGGAGCGAAAGCGUGGGGAGCGAACAGG
rnacentral:rRNA from 1 species